AUUACUCUUUCAAUCAGGAAACAAACAAAAAGAUGGAAAAAUCUUUUUUGUUUGUUUCCUGAUUGAAAGAGUAAUAUAAGUUCUUU
rnacentral:miRNA from 1 species